GAUGAACGCUAGCGGGAGGCCUAACACAUGCAAGCCGAGCGGUAUUUGUUCUUCGGAACAGAGAGAGCGGCGCACGGGUGCGAAACACGUGUGCAACCUGCCUUUAUCUGGGGGAUAGCCUUUCGAAAGGAAGAUUAAUACCCCAUAAUAUAUUGAGUGGCAUCAUUUGAUAUUGAAAACUCCGGUGGAUAGAGAUGGGCACGCGCAAGAUUAGAUAGUUGGUGAGGUAACGGCUCACCAAGUCAAUGAUCUUUAGGGGGCCUGAGAGGGUGAUCCCCCACACUGGUACUGAGACACGGACCAGACGCCUACGGGAGGCAGCAGUGAGGAAUAUUGGACAAUGGGUUAGCGCCUGAUCCAGCCAUCCCGCGUGAAGGACGACGGCCCUAUGGGUUGUAAACUUCUUUUGUAUAGGGAUAAACCUACUCUCGUGAGAGUAGCUGAAGGUACUAUACGAAUAAGCACCGGCUAACUCCGUG
rnacentral:rRNA from 1 species